rnacentral:rRNA from 1 species
CCCUUAGAUGUUCUGGGCCGCACGCGCGCUACACCGAUGCAUUCAACGAGUCUAAAACCUGCUCUGAUAGGGGUGGGUAAUCUUUUGAACGUGCAUCGUGAUUGGGAUAGAUGAUUGCAAUUUUUCAUCUUCAACGAGGAAUGCCUAGUAAACGCAAGUCAUCAGCUUGCAUUGAUUACGUCCCUGCCCUUUGUACACACCGCCCGUCGCUCCUACCGACUGAAUGAUCCGAUGAAUAUCAUGGAUUGAGGAUGCAAGUAGGUUAGCCUAUCUUCAUCUUCGAGAAGUGAAGUAAAUCUUAUCAUUUAGAGGAAGGAGAAGUCGUAACA